GGUGAGUAACACGUGGGUGAUCUGCCCUGCACUUCGGGAUAAGCCUGGGAAACUGGGUCUAAUACCGGAUAUGACCUCCUAUCGCAUGGUGGGUGGUGGAAAGAUUUAUCGGUGCAGGAUGGGCCCGCGGCCUAUCAGCUUGUUGGUGGGGUAAUGGCCUACCAAGGCGACGACGGGUAGCCGACCUGAGAGGGUGACCGGCCACACUGGGACUGAGACACGGCCCAGACUCCUACGGGAGGCAGCAGUGGGGAAUAUUGCACAAUGGGCGAAAGCCUGAUGCAGCGACGCCGCGUGAGGGAUGACGGCCUUCGGGUUGUAAACCUCUUUCAGCAGGGACGAAGCGCAAGUGACGGUACCUGCAGAAGAAGCACCGGCUAACUACGUGCCAGCAGCCGCGGUAAUACGUAGGGUGCAAGCGUUGUCCGGAAUUACUGGGCGUAAAGAGUUCGUAGGCGGUUUGUCGCGUCGUUUGUGAAAACCAGCAGCUCAACUGCUGGCUUGCAGGCGAUACGGGCAGACUUGAGUACUGCAGGGGAGACUGGAAUUCCUGGUGUAGCGGUGAAAUGCGCAGAUAUCAGGAGGAACACCGGUGGCGAAGGCGGGUCUCUGGGCAGUAACUGACGCUGAGGAACGAAAGCGUGGGUAGCGAACAGGANUAGAUACCCUGGUAGUCCACGCCGUAAACGGUGGGCGCUAGGUGUGGGUUCCUUCCACGGAAUCCGUGCCGUAGCUAACGCAUUAAGCGCCCCGCCUGGGGAGUACGGCNGCNAAGCUAAACUCAAAGGAAUUGACNGGGGNCCGCACAAGCGGCGGANCAUGUGGAUUAAUUCGAUGCAACGCGAAGAACCUUACCUGGGUUUGAC
rnacentral:rRNA from 1 species